UACGGAGGAUCCGAGCGUUAUCCGGAUUUAUUGGGUUUAAAGGGAGCGCAGGCGGGAGAUUAAGUCGGCGGUGAAAUUUUGCAGCUCAACUGUAAAAGUGCCUUCGAAACUGGUUUCCUUGAGUGUAGAUGAAGUAGGCGGAAUUUGUGGUGUAGCGGUGAAAUGCAUAGAUAUCACGAGGAACUCCGAUUGCGCAGGCAGCUUACUAAACUACUACUGACGCUCAGGCACGAAGGCGUGGGGAUCAAACAGGAUUAGAUACCCUGGUA
rnacentral:rRNA from 1 species